GGACAGGAGCAGCUGGAUGAGCUCCCUUCCCUCUUUCCCUUCUUCCUGCCUUGAAUGAGGGCAGGAUGCUUGGAGCUGACAAAGCCAUACCACAACCAUGAAGACAUUUCCUCGCCAGUGCUGCAGUGGUAGAGAAGAGCGGAGGGAGCUAGUGAACGAGUCCUUGCCCCACACUUAGGAACCUCCGAGCUGCCCCAGCUCCUGUCCCUCCCGACAUCCACAGCGUCCUAAAAAUAAAAUCAUCACAGAUGCAGAGAGCAUCCAGAAAGAGGACUGGAUGUGGGGUCCAUAGCUCCAAUCGACUCAAGUCCUAGUGCUGUACAGACUAACUGCCAGAUGCCUCUGGGCCUCAGUUUCCCCAUCUCUAAGAGAAAAGACUUGGAAUUCUGAAAUCCUUCUCUAAUACUGGAUCAGAAUGUUGGGGCAAUGAAGAAAGGAAGCACACUACUCCGCAGGCACCUGAGGAGGACUCUGCCUGGGGCUACCUCCCUCAUCUCUGCAUCCAAACACUGAUACAAGUUCCGGGUGACCUUGGCUGGCAAACUGCCUGCCCCACGCCCACCUGUACACUCCCAGGGAAAGUGGAUGAGCAAAGGUGCCAGACCUGACAAGAGAAUUCAGAAGACUUUGUAAGGAAAUUGGUUUUUUCACUGGAAGUCAAUGCUUCGGGCCAGAAAAUGCUCAGAACUGGCAGCAACUGACAAAAGCUGCCUCUUGUCUGCAAGUGUAUCAGCUUCUGAAGAGAUAAGAGGCAGAGGCUGGAGUGCAGGCUUCUCAAGUGAACGCUGACAGGAGAACAGAAGAGCUGCCUCCCACUCUCACCGGCUCAGAGCAUCCGGGCUGCCAGGGCAGAGACGUCAACCACUCCAGCCCCCUCACUGCUCUGAUGGAGGGAUACAGGCCUAGGACAAGGAGUGACCUGCCUAGGGCCUGUCAGUGGCAGUGGUUAUUGCAGGGGUCCCCCCGGGGGAGGGUCUGGGGACCUGGCAGCCGAAUGUACACUGUGGGAGCUCAGAGCCAUCCUGGACUCAUCUGUUGAAUGGCAGCAACCUUAUAAUGUCUGAGGGCUGCAAAGAACAGGAUCCUGUGACCCUCAUUCUGAGAAAGGAGUGUUGGGGACCAGAUCAACCGUACUUCCCAGGGGGUUUGGCUUCAGCCUGGGCCAACACCAGGGCCACACUCUUAUCAAUGGACGUUCAGAGGGGAAGAUAAGAACACUGGGCUGGCUUUUGUUCUUUCAGAAGUCCCUACUGAAUAGCUCUCAGCCAUCAGCCAGAAUCCAGACCUCAGCUAUCAGUCCUUUAUCUGUAACCCUAGAGCCCCAGCUGGGAUGCCCCUCCAAGGCAGAUAAACAUCCAAUUAGGAAUGCUUUCUCCUAGGGUUGUAUCCAGACCUGUGGGAGUGGACAGCAGGGAGCAGCCGUCCAUCUGCCUCCUGGCUCACAUGCCUGGUCCGUACUUGUUGGACCACAUUAAGGAACAAAAUAGAGCUGUUGAUGCCUUUGAUGCCAUUCAAUCUCUGCUGUGAUGGACAUAGUAGGUCAGGCACUCAGCCUCCACUUGUACCUAAACCAGAAAAUUAGCAACUAGAUUUCCCAGGCUCCUUGCAGACAGAGCUCUGGAUUUGAAUUUAGGUUCCAUCGUUUAGAUGCGCUGGCAUGAGAUUUGCGUAGCAGAAACUGUCUUCCCAGUGCUUUGGCUGUUACAUUUGACAAGCAGGGUCAGGGAGCUGUUGGGCUUUUCUAGAUCAGUAUUCCAGCAAACUGUGACUAGAUUUAUGGGUAUAAAGAGGCAAAAUGCAGCAUUUACAGUGGCUUCCUGACUGUGGUGGAUUAAAAUGGCUGCAAAUUCCCCAUCAAGAGACAGAGAAUCUUUUACUUCUUCUGAAAUCUGAGUUGUCCUGUGACUUGCUUUGACCAAUAGAAUGCAGCAGAAGUGAUGGUGUGUCACUUCUCAGGCUGCUCCUUAAGAGGUUUGCAGCUUCUGCCUUCAUAUUUUGGAACACUGUCUGGGAAGCCAAACACUGUGUACAAAGUCUGACUGCCAUGCUAUGAGGAAGCCCAGAUUGCCACGUGGAGAGAUAUUGCUCAUAUGAAGGAGCACUGAGAUGUCAACACGUGAGUAAAGCCUUUUUGGAUAUUCCAGCUCAUCCCAACCACUAGCUGAAUGUAGCUGAGUGAAUGACCCCAGCCAAUGGCACCUGGAGCAAAAGAACCACCCACCUGAGCCCUGCGCAGAUUCCUGAUCCACAAACUUAUGAGCAAAUUAAAUGGUAAUUGUUUAAGCCCCUUAAGUUUUGGGGUAGGUUGCUAUAUAUCAGUAGACAACCAAAACACUGAUCCUUGGAUCAGAGAUUGUGAUGAGUACUUUUUUAAAAAUUGAG
ensembl:lncRNA